UACCAGCACCCCGAGUGGUCGGGACGAUUAUUGGGCCUAAAGCAUCCGUAGCCGGUUCUACAAGUCUUCCGUUAAAUCCACCUGCUCAACGGAUGGGCUGCGGAGGAUACCGCAGAGCUAGGAGGCGGGAGAGGCAAACGGUACUCAGUGGGUAGGGGUAAAAUCCAUUGAUCUACUGAAGGCCACCAGUGGCGAAGGCGGUUUGCCAGAACGCGCUCGACGGUGAGGGAUGAAAGCUGGGGGAGCAAACCGG
rnacentral:rRNA from 1 species